rnacentral:rRNA from 1 species
CCUACGGGAGGCUGCAGUGGGGAAUAUUGCACAAUGGGGGAAACCCUGAUGCAGCGACGCCGCGUGAGUGAAGAAUUAUUUCGGUGUGUAAAGCUCUAUCAGCCGGGGAGAAAUAGCGACCUUUGGGUCGCCAGACGGUACCUGAUUAAGAAGCCCCGGCUAACUACGGGCCAGCAGCCGCGGUGAUACGUAGGGGGCCAGCGGUAUCCGGAUUUACUGGGUGUAAAGGGAGCGUAGACGGCAGCGCAAGUCUGAAGUGAAAUGCCGGGGCUUAACCCCGGACCUGCUUUGGCAACUGGGCAGCUAGAGUGCAGGAGAGGUAAGUGGAAUUCCUAGUGUAGCGGUGAAAUGCGUAGAUAUUAGGAGGAACACCAGUGGCGAAGGCGGCUUACUGGACUGUAACUGACGUUGAGGCUCGAAAGCGUGGGGAGCAAACAGGAUUAGAUACCCCAGUAGUC